rfam:Microgenomates (Woesebacteria) bacterium GW2011_GWA1_39_12 TT23_C0033, whole genome shotgun sequence.
GGGCCCGUGGCGCAAUGGCUAGCGCACCUGGCUGGCAGUCAGGGGGUUAGGGGUUCAAAUCCCCUCGGGUCCA